AAAACAAACCUGCUUCCUAAAAAUAGGUAGACUGCUACCUAUUUCGGAGAAUCAGAUGACAUAAAUUGUUUGGGGAAUCAGAUGGCAUAAAGAGAGUUCCCAGAAUGCCACAGUAUUUCCCAUAAUGCCACAGAAAGAGAACUUCCCUUCAAUAAACUGAUCAGAAUUAUAAACCAGGUUUUAAAAAACUCACUGUUCUAUGUGAACCCUAUGUGAACAUGGUAAUGGGCUCACCUGAAAGCUUCACUGAUAGCUUGGUGGGCACUUUGAAAGAUAAGAACCACUUCCCCACUUGCUGUUAUUCCUCCAGCAGCUAGUAUACUGCUGCUGAAUCGUAAGCUUCUUUUUAAGCAUUGUGGUAAAAAACAAUAAAGCCUGCCAUAAACCAAGUGAAAUAAUUAGUUCGCCCAGUUCAGUGCUCUGUAUGUGGGCAUUGCUGGGCAGUUUCUCUCCAGGGUUCCAGACAGGAGUCUCCCAGCCAAGCCUGGAGCUGACAGGGAUUGAAUCUGGAACCUUCCGCACACAAGCUAUAGUUCUUCCGGCUUGCCUUCCAUUAAUUUGUCUAGUAUUCUUUAAAAGCAAUCUAAGACUCGCCUGCCCUGCAGAAGUACAUGUGUGAAGACAUUCUUCUGUCCUUUCCGAGUUGUUUUGAACCCCAAGAUCUACCAAAUAAAGUCAGGUGCAAAAGACAUACAUACGGAUGAUACCCAGAAUAGGAUGAUACCCAGAAAAGGGACGCUGGUGGUGCUAGGAGCCUAGGACUUGCUGAUCAGAAGCACUGCAAGAGAAGGCCAUGGAGGUGCAUCAUGAGGGUGGAGACGAGUCCAGCUUUCAGAACUUCUGUUGGGAUUCCGUCCUGUUCCUGAACUUGAAGAGUGGAAAGAGAGUUGUUCAGACCUGCAUUCCAAGAGGUGUGAAGCUUAAUCAGAGAUCAAAUGCAAAACAUGCCACUGCGAUGAUACCUACUCAUCAGGCUUUUGACAAGACAGUUUCCUGUGACAGCUUAAUCUGCAACAUAAUCUAACAACAAAUUAAAUGUACCCUGCAGAACUAAUAUACUCCAACCUAU